rnacentral:misc_RNA from 1 species
GAUGAAGAACGCAGCGAAAUGCGAUAAGUAAUGUGAAUUGCAGAAUUCAGUGAAUCAUCGAAUCUUUGAACGCAUCUUGCGCUCCUUGGUAUUCUGAGGAGCAUGCCUGUUUGAGUGUCAUUAAAUUCUCAACUACACUGACUUUGAAUUGGUGUGGCUUGGAUUUGGGGGGAAAAUUGUUGUGGGCUUUUUGUAUAGUCUGCUCCCCUGAAAUUGAUUAGCGGUACCUUUGUGGAACUGUCUACAGGUGUGAUAAUUAUCUACAUCUUAGACAUCUGCUGGAAUGCUGCUUUCUAAUCCUUACUUGUAUUGACAAUCUUGACCUCAAAUCAGGUAGGACUACCCGCUGAACUUAAGCAUAUCAAUAAGCGGAGGA